rnacentral:rRNA from 1 species
GCGUGCAGGAAGAAGGCCUUCGGGUUGUAAACUGCUUUUGUACGGAACGAAACGGUCUGAGUUAAUACCUCGGGCUAAUGACGGUACCGUAAGAAUAAGCACCGGCUAACUACGUGCCAGCAGCCGCGGUAAUACGUAGGGUGCAAGCGUUAAUCGGAAUUACUGGGCGUAAAGCGUGCGCAGGCGGUGAUGUAAGACAGUCGUGAAAUCCCCGGGCUCAACCUGGGAAUUGCGAUUGUGACUGCAUCGCUGGAGUGCGGCAGAGGGGGAUGGAAUUCCGCGUGUAGCAGUGAAAUGCGU